AGAUGAUCUCAGAAAAGAUGGUAAAGCUAGCUGCUGAGAAUACAGAAAUGCAGAAAGACUAUUCUAGUUUUCUAUCAAGAAAAAGCAAGAUUAAGAUAGCUAAAGAUGACUGCGUUUUUGGGAACAUAAAGGAAGAAGAUCUCUGAAGAAAGCUCUCAUAUUUUAAAAUAUCCUUGGAGGCUAUCUCAAGACAGUGAAAGAACUUGGGGAUUCAGGUGGGCUACCUACCAUCAGUGGAGGAAAUUUGACCUCUUCCCAUUUUUUUGGCAUUAACAUGGACUGUAUUCAUCAAGGUAUUAUACCACAGCACUCUAUGGAAAUCUCAAGAUUAGAAAAAAAAAAAGAACCAAGUUAUAGAGUUAGUUUUUAUUUUAUUUUUGCACUUCGUCAUGACAGUAUAGAGUUUGUUUUUAAUGUCUCAUAAAU
rnacentral:lncRNA from 1 species